rnacentral:lncRNA from 1 species
UUUUAUCAAAGUAAAAUAUUGAAAUGGAGGUAAUAAUCUUUCUUAGAGAAUUUUUUUAUAUUAAAUAAAUUUCUAAAAAAUUAUGUUAUACUAUUUAUUUCAAAAUGUGAAAUUUUUUCAUGACUUAAGGAUUUUAAACUUUUUUUCUUUGAGACAUUUAUGAGAUUUUUCUUAAAGAUCUAGCAAAAUUUAAAUACUUGGUGUUAUGAGUAGCAUCCUAUUAUCAUCCUAGUCUAUAUCUAUCAGAGGUUGAACACGUUACGUUCUCCUUUAAUAGCAAAUAAGCUAGUAAAUUUUAUUAAAAAAGGUAAGUUUAGUAGGUUUAAGGUACACUUCUAAAGUUCUUUUUUUUUAGAAAGCUUUUCUAAUCAAUAUCAAGGAAGAAUAAGAUUUCUCCUUCAAUCUCUCUAUUUCUUUUCAAUCUUGUUAAAAAAGGUUUUCGAGUUACAGGCAAUUUUUGGAAUAUGGGCAAUGGCUAUUAAUUAUAAGAUUACUCUUGAUUUUGUUAAUGAAACUUUUUCCUCAGCAUAAUAUGGGAGGGUCAAUGGUAUUAUGAGGGAGUUUAGGUACUUUCUACCAACAUUAGACCUUAAUAUCAAUUUUUCUAAAAAUAUUUUAUGAGAAUUGAGGUGGAUCAAGAGUCGAUAGAUAUAGAAGCUAAUUAGAUUGACUGUAAACUAUCAUAUCUUCUUAUAAACUAGAUACGAAUAUAUUCUGAAUGUAAAAAGAAAAUGAAAAUCACUAAAAUUUCUUCUUAAACAUGAAUUUUACUAUUCGAUGAGCCUUAAAUGGGCUCUAGUUCAAAGUAAUAUAUUUAUUUGUAUUUAUAAUCUCUAGUUGUUGGAUAUGUUUAUUUAUUGACUAUAGAAAAAAAAUUUCAUUUUUAUAGUUAGUUAAUCAAAUAAGACAUAUAUAAAUUUGAAAUAAAAUUCACUUAAUUAAUGUAUGCAUGCACACAUAAACGAGCACAUGUAGAAGAUGAGGUUAUAUAUAUUACUGGCAAAGCAAGUAUAUUUAUAUAUAAUUUAAAUAGAGAAAUAAAAUAUAUUUUAAAGGAAGAAGGAAAUGUAGAAUCACUUGAGAUUCUUCUUAAAAAUAACUUAUAGGGUUUGAGGACCCUAUCAUGAAUUUUGCUUCAUAAUACUGUAAUAUUUUAUAAUUAUCUAU